rnacentral:tRNA from 1 species
GGCUUAGCUCAGUUGGUAGAGCACCGCUCUUGUAAAGCGGGGGUCGUGGGUUCGAGCCCCUCAGCCG